rnacentral:rRNA from 1 species
CUGCUGCCUCCCGUAGGAGUUUGGUCCGUGUCUCAGUACCAAUGUGGGGGUUAACCUCUCAGUCCCCCUAUGUAUCGUUGUCUUGGUGAGCCGUUACCCCACCAACUAACUAAUACAACGCAUGCCCAUCCAUUACCACCGGAGUUUUCAACCCAAGAAGAUGCCUCCCUGGAUGUUAUGGGGUAUUAGUACCGAUUUCUCAGUGUUAUCCCCCUGUAAUGGUAGUUGCAUACGCGUUACGCACCCGUGCGCCGGUCGCCGACGUAGA